UACGAAGGGGGCUAGCGUUGUUCGGAAUUACUGGGCGUAAAGCGCACGUAGGCGGAUACUUAAGUUAGGGGUGAAAUCCCAGAGCUCAACUCUGGAACUGCCUCUAAUACUGGGUAUCUCGAGUUCGAGAGAGGUGAGUGGAAUUCCGAGUGUAGAGGUGAAAUUCGUAGAUAUUCGGAGGAACACCAGUGGCGAAGGCGGCUCACUGGCUCGAUACUGACGCUGAGGUGCGAAAGCGUGGGGAGCAAACAGG
rnacentral:rRNA from 1 species